CAGCCUGGAGCUUUUUACCCUGAGUAUGAAAUCGGAGGUGAGCCCAUUGAUGAUAUUGAUGCAUUUAGAACUUGCAAACAAUCAGUGAGGGUUUUUCUUGAAUAGCAUUAAUCAUCUUUGACUCUUUGAUCAUUUGGAAGUAUUUGGGCUUUAAAGAGAAUAUUAUUGCACUUUUUUCUUAUAAAACUUAGAAACUCUUCCACACUCAGAUUUAUUGCUUACUAGACAAAAUCUUUUCUUAAGAGAAACUUGUCUCAACUAUGUUAAUUACGAAAAGGCCAACUGUGUUGACCUGACUUCGGUUUUUGCAUGUGGGUGAACAGCUUAUUUAUAGAGAAUACCGUUUGCAGUUGUUACUGGUGCUGUUUUCAGCUGUUCCUCUCCAUUCCAUUUUUGUUGUUUUAAUUGGACUUACUGGCCAAACUUUAUUGACCCUUUUAAAGGGGAAAAAAUCAGAAUGCAUCAUGCUUUGAAUACAGCCACUCAGUAAGAAUUAAGAACCUUUGAAAACUUGAAUGAUGCAUAAAUGAUUGUAAAAUAAUUUACUUAUUGGUAAAGUUUUUUUGCCAAGAUUACUAGAAAUUAUGGCCAUUUUUUAUCUUGUGCUAGAAAUAUUUGAAAUGCUUUGUCUACUCUGAGCUUGGGAGCAGUUGGAUUAUUUGGGAUAGAAAAGAACCUAUGUUUGGGAUAGAGAGAAUCUAUGGGAUAAAUAAGGCUCCAUUUCACAUCUUGUUUAGAAUCUCGUGGGCUCUGCCCAUGUUAAACUGAAGACUUUUUUAAGAAUAUUGACUGCUUGAAUUUCUGAAGGGUUGUUGACAGAAAGGUUUGUGAAUUACGGGAACUUACAACUAAUUCAUUGACAUAAUUUAAUUUUAGGGAUUUGAUUGUAUUCAGGCUAAAUCUGGAGUUAAAGUUUGUUUUCACACUUAGAAGAUAGUUCUCUGGAUGUCACUUAACUGAUACUCCUUUGCUCCAAAGAUGUAAAGCACCAAGGACUACAUAGGAAUUGCUCAGUAGCUAUUUGUCAAAUGAAUGAAACUGAAUUGUCUCAGUGAAUUUUUCCUAUUUAAAACAUACUCAUAAAAGUAUAUAAAUUUAGUCUAAUUCUGCAUUUCUUUCCAAAGAAGAAACCAGUCACGUACCUCUCCUUCUCCCAUCACUAGUUGGAGGAAGCACCUUAGCCUCAGAUCCUCCAGCUAGAAUGAGAGAGCAGGCCCCUGACCCCCAGUCUCUUCUCAUGGUAAUUGCUAGCUGGGUUUUCUUGCCGUUUUCCAUCUCACACUUACCUCAGUCCCUUGUCCUUUUUGAAUUUUCUAGUGUUUUCUGAUAAUCAUGGUUCUUCCUACUACCUUCAAAAAAUUUAUCUCUAGAUUACUCGUCUGUAUUUUUUUAAGAUAGACUUAAAAUCACUAGAUCACAUGUAUGUAUUUAUGUGUAUUUUAACCUAAGGGAUUUUAGCUCUCAAAAAUUUAUUUGCAAUAAUGCCAAACAGAUUCACUGGAUCUUAAGAGGCUUAAUUUAGACCAGGACAGUUGUCCAGCAAAUACUUGUGAAUCAUUCAGUAAUUAAACUCUGUGGGAGUUGUUACUCAGAAAACUGAUAGGGCUUACUCAAGCCAAGAAAAUCUAUCAGGACUUUAGCAGAAAUAGAGCCAGUGACUUUUGACCCCUGUCAUCGAGUAUUCAAACCACAAAGCCCUUCCAGUUCCCUAAUUACUCGAGUUGUUGGACUUCAGGCUGAAUUGGCCCUGGCAUUUCACAAGCACCAACCUCUAGAGGUUUGAAGUCUUUACUGUUAACCAGACCUCAAAACUGGUGUUCCCACCCCCUUUCACCGAAGGAUAAUCAAAAUCUGUAGGUGUUAGAGUUUUGUGUACCUGACUUUAUUUCACUGAAACUAACCUUGAAAAACAUCUAUGCACAAAAUCAGGGCAGCAAAGAAGUGAAAAUGUAGACGGCAGCUGGGGGAUAGAGGAAGAUUUGUGUGUGUGUUAAACUUCCCCAACUGGAAAGUAAAAGAAAAGUCCCUGUAGAUUGAGGUUAUACGUUACAAACUCCUGCAAGCAGGGACUGGCAUCUGUUUUGUUCACUGAGAUGUCCCUGUGUGCCUACAACAGUAUCCAGAACCUUAGAACCUUAGCUAAUAAGGUAAGAAGUCAACAAACAUUUGCUGAAUGAAUAAUAAAUGAAUGAGUGAACCUGUCUUAGGUGGUAGAGAAUCGGGCAAAUUAAUACAUGUAAAGCACUUAAAAUAGUUCCAAGCAUGGAACUUUUCGUUUUUAUUAUUUUAUAAUUCACUAGAUACAGAGCCCCCAGUAUUUUGGAUGACUUAAUUUGCAUUUUAUUUUCCUGUCUUCAGUCCUAAAGAUCUGUUAUGAGAAGCUAACACUCUGAAUGGUUAAGAAAGUGAGAGACUAAAUUUAUUAAUUAUUUCAGAAAAUUAUUCUUACUUUGACAUUUAAUAAAAUAUUUUGCUAAUCACAAGCUGUCACCAGAAUGUUCUGUUUGUGGAUAAAUAAUGUUACUUGCAGUCUUAGGACAUGGAUUUUCUAAAUUUGUUGUGAGUUAUAUUGACUCCACUUCUCUCGCCCUCGCCAUCUAUGUCCACAAAUUAUGUUAAUACCAAGAGCAGAAAUGUCUGAAAUAACCAGCUGGGUUCAUGGGUGCAGUUUGAAGCCACGGGACUUAGCAAAGUUAACUGGCCUCUACAUGAAUUGUGCCUGUAACCUUGGCUUCUUACACCACAGUUUGUGACCGUUUAACUGGUCCAGACUCGUCCACAUCAGAUUUAAUUUCUUGUAUUCUUUUUUGUAAUAAAUCAAGCUGGAUGCUGAUUCCAAGAUGUAUUAAAAGUCUUCAGAAAGUUUACCACAGUUGCAAAAGAGCUUUAAUCUUUGGAAUGUCUCUGACUCUUGCGUCAAAAAACUCACCAGACCAAGAGAGUGAUAAGAAACCAAACCGUACUCUUGGAGUAUUUUCUCUUCAGAAGUUAAGUCCUGCAAGUCUCUCUGCAUCUGUCUGGCAGUCCGUCCGCUUUUCCCAGGGCUGUUUUCCCCUGAGUGCUUUCCUUCUGCUUGCCCUGUUUCCUUCUGCAACUCAUGGUUAAGCCAUCGUGGGAUGUCAUCAAUGGGAAGAACUUCAUAAAUUAGCUUUAAACUUCACUUUGGCAGAGAAAUUCUUCCUUCAAAGUAGGCAUAUAAAGUAGAGUUGCCUCAGUGCCUGGCACACAGUAACCUAUUUCUUUUUUAAUAUAUGUGUAACGUUUUAGCUGCUCUGUUGGGAAGGGGUAACUGAUGCCUCGUGGGGGUAUCAUUAAGUACAACUGUGCCCCUGGGUUUCUGAGAAGCUAAUUAAAGGAUACUGGUCUUAUUCUAGUAAUGGGCUUGAUACCAAAGAGGCAAUGAUGUUAUAUUUGGGUUAAGCCUGCACCCCUUUUCUUUAUAGUAGGUGGACUGAUUGUAAGUCCCUGCCUUAAAGAGUUUGUGUACUUCCCUAAAUCUCUAGUUGGUGUCGUUAAGGACCCCUAUAAAUACUGGAACCACCUGCCUCCCUAAGAGCUGUGAGCACUUGGGUCCUGACUAUUCCUGGGUUCACCUAGGCAUAAUACUAUAGAAUAUUUUGGAAGGAUAAAAUGCUUAUUUAGCUUUCCAUGAGUAGCUGUAUUCCCAGACCCUAAGUAAGAGUAUAUACCACAUCACAGAGAUUGCUGCUUAAACUAAGGGUUAGUAUUGCCCAGUGUCAGAAAUCUGAGAUAUUUAUAACUUCAUAAUCCUGUUACCAUCUUUACUUUGUUACAAAGUCACUAAAAAUCUGCAUUCUUAGAUCAUUUUGUUUCUUCAUUUGCAAACCAUUCAGCAUUUCUUAACUCAUUUGUACAUUGACUCUUGUUAUUGGUAAAAUAUCAUGAUUAUAUGAAAUGGUAAAUCAGUGGCAAAUCCUUGAAACAUUAAUUAAAUGUAAUAUCUUCUUCUUGCCCAUCUGAAAUAAGAACAGUUCACUAGCAUCCACUUUUUUGUUGGAGGUGGUGGAGACCUUUCUUUCUUUUGUAUUUUUGUGGUAAGGUGUAUAAGUUCCCCCUUCUCAGUUAUUAUUUAUAAUGCUUUUCUACAUUAACUUUUUUCAUGGGCAACUCUAGACGCCUCUUAAAAACCAAGGCAAAGUUCUAACCACUGAUGCAGACUCUCAAGUAUAGAGUAUAUGAGGGGAUAUGUGUGUUUAUGUACAUGCAUCUGUAUGUGUGAGUGCAAAAUUAAGGCCAUCCCUAAAGGAGGAAGAGCCAGCUUUCCGGGUGAAGGCAAAGAGCUUUCCAGGGAUUAGUAACUGUAGAGUUUCUUGUGUAGGAACAAGUUGUCCUGUAGGAGGGACAAGGCACUGUCUAGAUGGUAAGGAGCAGGUGAUGAGGUCGGAGAGUUAGGAAGAGAUCAGUCACGUCAGAGGAGUCUUUCUCAGCCCCCUUCUUAGUAACAGGACAAGGAUUGAGAACCUGUGAUUGCUUUCGUAUAGAAUAUGGGUUUGCCUCUUUCUGAAGACCUUCUCUGGAGACCUGCCUUCUCCAGCUUCAGAUGAGCUUCCUCUUCGCUGACUCUUAUGAGCUUCUGAAUCAUACCCUGGCUGUUCUCUUUCAUGUACAGCCUGCUUUCCGCCAGCAUUAGGUGCAGAACACUUUGUUUCAUUUUACUGGGCUAAAAAAUGAUAAUAAUUUAACAAAUGAACGCAUGUACAUGGAAGCUAGCAGAUAUUAUCUAAUUCAGCUUUAUCUCAUUUGUCAUCCAAGGGUACUGUCAGAUACUUAUUUUCACUUCUUAGGUUUUUUCUUCUCAGUUUGUUUUUUGAGUUUUUGCCUCUCAUUAAAUUUCUUUUUACUGAUACAUAAUAGUUGUACAUAUUUGGGGGGUACAUGCUAUAUUUUGAUACCUGCAGUACAAUGUGUAAUGGUCACAUCAGGUUAAUUGGGAUAUCUGUUACCACAAACACCUCUGUGUUGAGAACAUUUCAAAAUUUUUUGCAGCUAUUUUUAAAAUACAAUAAAUUACUGUUAAUUACAGUUUCCCUACUGUUCUGUUGAAUAUGGGAACUUACUCCUUCUAUCUAACUAUAUUUUUGCACUGAAUUAAAACUGGUCUUGUGAAAUCCUGGUUUGUUUAAGGCACUGAGACUAAACCUACGGCUGUAUAUGCUAUUUCUGUAGCAUCUAUACGCUUCUGCCGUGAAUUGGGUGACGACUCACAUUUUCACUUUCCUUGUCAUAACAAGAGCUUAUUCCUGUUUCACAGCUGGAAUCAAGUGUUAGAAAUUUAGUAGAAAUGACUAUGAAAAUCUAUCUAAUACGAGAUUUAUUAACUCACUGUUGCAGUUGAAAACACUAGUAAGUCGGUCCUGUUGACAUCACUGAAAACUGUCAUUAGCUUUACAUACCUAGAAAGGAGUUAGCCCCAGAAGAUGUCGUUUCUACAAUUCCCACGAACAAAUAGUACCGCAGGGUGUGCCAGGCUGCAUUUGCCAUCCCUUUUCUUCUCCAUUUACAGACUCUGUAUGGAAUUUCAUUGACCAGUUAGGAAAAAAGCAUAAACUAAAUAAUAAAAAAGUGCCUUUAAGAAGUUCAAGAAGUUACUUAUUUCAUGUUUGGCAAAAUCUUAUAACAAAAAAAUUAAUAAUAUUUCUGUUAAUUGUUCAGAGAUUUUCUUCAGUCUCUGAACCAAAUUCAAGCAUCCUGUUAAUGGAUAGUGUUCAUUUUUCUUAUUUUAUUCUCCUUCAAAGAGCUUUAGAUUUUACCUUUCUUAAUGAAUCUUCUUUCCACCUGCAAUGGUUAUUUUUUCCUACAAAGUGCAUUAUAUGACCAUGGUUAAAUUAACCAGAUUUUUGAAAACAUUUUUUGGCCCAUAUGACAAAGCAAAAGAAUAUGCCUAGAAGGGGACAACAGUGGUUUGGCAUGUUGCCAAGGUAACCAGCCUUAAAGUUCCCUUUAAUGUGUGCUUAAAAUCUUCCUGUAUGUUAUAUAUAGAUUCAGACCCAACAUCUUUCUGCAGGAGGAAAAGAAAUUGGUUAGGAAUAACUGUCCAAUUUGCUGUUGCAGUCUGUGCAGCACGAAGCACUGACUAAUGAGGCCCUCCCUGCCCCCUGCGUUUAAUUGAGAGGGCUGGCCAACAUGAAGCCAUGUCGGCAAUCACUCAGGAAGUAGAAGGCACUGAACUCACCGUUUGGCCUUGACCAAAGCGAGCUCCAUCUUUUGUCAAUCCGAGAAUUCCUGUACAUAUUUUGGGGGUACAUGCUAUAUUUGUUAUAGCAUGUGUUAAGGGUAUUUAAUAAAGUACAGUGUGAACUGCUGUGUUUUGUAUUCUACAAAUACAUUGAACACAAUAAUGGGCAUAUUUUAAAAAACUGAUGCUGAUUUUUCCAUGUCUUUUUACAGUAUGUAAGAAUCAUAUUUAUCAGUUUUGGGAGAAAAGAGCAAAGAAUGUUAUUGCCAAAGUUUUCACUGAUUAUUUACAUGCAUUUGAAAUGCCACAUUUUAAAUAUCUAGCAAACUUCUUAAAAACUUCUUAUUUAAAUGAGGUAGCUCAUUGGGUCUAUAUUAUGAUAUACUCAUGUAGGUUUCAAAACUUCACUCAGACAGUAAGAUGAUUUUGUGUGUUUAUAACUUUGACCAUGGGGAUUUAUGUAGGAAUUUUUUAGCAUAUGACUCCACAAUUUAAGUGGCCUGUAGAGAACUCAAAGAAUGAACAUUUCAUUCCCACUUUUCCAGGCCUUUUAUCAUGCUAAAUCACAAGUCAGGGACCUAACAAUGAAAUCCUUUUUGUAUCUGGGUUUAAAAGGUCUUAAAAGUUGAACUUAAUGCUCUUUACAGUGGAAUAUGCACUGUAGGUGCCAAAUACAUUUAAGAGUAGGGUUGUGGUGUUCCAUAUUGUGAGUAGAAAGAGAUUUACUAUCUGAGAUUGUCACAUUCCAGCAGUGACAUCACCAAGUUGUGUAAGGAUUGUUUUAUGUAUCAAAACUGAAGAUCACAGACUUUGAGAGCACAGAUCUAUGCUUUCACUUGCAUAAGCUUACAAAGUGUCUAUUAUAAGGAUUUAUUGGCAUGUGUUUAUAGGAAAGAAUUUUAAUCACAAUUGUAACCCAUAAUGUGAUGUGUCAGUAAAUGUAUAUUUGGAUCAUUUGUUUAUUUGUUAAACAAAUGUGUAUUGGGUACCUUCUUUGCUUGGCACACCAUUAGAAACUAGGAAUCUGAAAGUCAGUAUGACACUCUCCGCCCUCAUGAAGGUUAUGACCUGAGGCAGAAGUAAACCAACCAUUAGAAGAGUACAACGACCAGUGUAAUAGAAAUGGGCCUGGGAAAUAGGAAGUUUCUUUCAGAUGAGGUGAGAGCUACGGAGACGACUGCAUUUUCUGGGAGAAACCUGGACUGCAGGGGGCAUUCUUGGCAGAAGGAGCAUCAGAAGUAAAGGUGGUGUUAGAGUGUACUGCUCUGGGCUUCGUUUCCCCCUGCCAGAUUUGUGAUUUAUAAAAUUACAAACGAUUGGGUUUCUGGUUAGUAAUCCAAUGGAAUUCUGUGUUUCUGAAUUACAUUUUAAACAGCCAGGGUUCAGUUAAUUGGUUUGCAUUACUGCCCACCAAAAUGACAGUGUUCUGUAUUUUUGUUGCAGAAAUGCACGUUACUGUGGAAUCACAGGAUACAAGCUGAGGCACGCCAGGGCGACAGUGUAGGACCUUUCAGCAAACCUGUACCCACUCUUGUACUUUUCCUCCUAGCACUUAAACUACAAAAUUUCUUAAAGCAUUGUGAGCUCUAAUGUGCUAUAAUUUUAGGGGUUUAGAAAGAGGAACUGGAUAAAGACAAAAAGGAGAGAGAGUUCAAAAUGAAUUUUAAAAUAAAAGAGAUAAAUAUUUAGGCUUCUUUUUCCAUGGGUCUUUUGAAUGAAACCCAUUUUGCUUUCUCUCUGCCAAAUUUAGGAGCACUAACUUCCAAGGAAUGACUAUGCUUUUUUAAAAUCAUUCCUUCAAAUUGAAAGAUGAGUGAAUUGCCUUUUACCUUGUUGCACUCCUGAGAGCAAGAUGGGUCACCAGCAGCUGUACUGGAGCCACCCACGAAAAUUUGGCCAGGGUUCUCACUCUUGUCUAAUUUGUUAAAACUGAUUUGACAUGGCAUGGUCUGAUCCGGAAAUAUGGCCUCAAUGUGUGCCACCAGUGUUUCCAUCAGUAUGCGAAGGAUAUUGGUUUCAUUAAGUUGGACGAAAUGAUCUUCCUUCAAAGGAUUAUCCAAGACAUCUACCAUGAAAAAUCAUGAUAGUUCUUUGUACAUAAAAUAAACAUCUUUAAAAACAAAAAAAGACGGGUAAAUUGUAUAUAUUUAUAUAUUUUGUUUUAAAGAAAAAUUUAUUUGUAACUCUUCA